UACGAAGGGGGCUAGCGUUGUUCGGAAUUACUGGGCGUAAAGCGCGCGCAGGCGGUUUUUCAAGUCAGUGGUGAAAGCCCGGAGCUCAACUCCGGAAAUGCCAUUGAAACUGUAAAACUUGAGGAUGAGAGAGGUGAGUGGAAUUCCCAGUGUAGAGGUGAAAUUCGUAGAUAUUGGAAGAACACCGGUGGCGAAGGCGGCUCACUGGCUCAUAUCUGACGCUCAGGCGCGACAGCGUGGGGAUCAAACAGG
rnacentral:rRNA from 1 species